rnacentral:rRNA from 1 species
GACGAACGCUGGCGGCGUGCUUAACACAUGCCAGUCGAACGGAAAGGCCCUGCUUGCAGGGUACUCGAGUGGCGAACGGGUGAGUAACACGUGGGUGAUCUGCCCUGCACUUCGGGAUAAGCCUGGGAAACUGGGUCUAAUACCGGAUAGGAGCCAUUUUUAGUGUGAUGGUUGGAAAGUUUUUUUCGGUGUAGGAUGAGCUCGCGGCCUAUCAGCUUGUUGGUGGGGUAAUGGCCUACCAAGGCGGCGACGGGUAGCCGGCCUGAGAGGGUGGACGGCCACAUUGGGACUGAGAUACGGCCCAGACUCCUACGGGAGGCAGCAGUGGGGGAUAUUGCACAAUGGGCGCAAGCCUGAUGCAGCGACGCCGCGUGGGGGAUGACGGCCUUCGGGUUGGAAACUCCUUUCGCUAGGGACGAAGCUUUUUGUGACGGUACCUAGAGAAGAAGCACCGGCUAACUACGUG